rnacentral:rRNA from 1 species
GAUGAACGCUGACAGAAUGCUUAACACAUGCAAGUCAACUUGAAUUUGGGUUUUUAACUUCGGUUUGGGUGGCGGACGGGUGAGUAACGCGUAAAGAACUUGCCUCACAGCUAGGGACAACAUUUGGAAACGAAUGCUAAUACCUAAUAUUAUGAUAAUAGGGCAUCCUAUAAUUAUGAAAGCUAUAAGCGCUGUGAGAGAGCUUUGCGUCCCAUUAGCUAGUUGGAGAGGUAACGGCUCACCAAGGCGAUGAUGGGUAGCCGGCCUGAGAGGGUGAUCGGCCACAAGGGGACUGAGACACGGCCCUUACUCCUACGGGAGGCAGCAGUGGGGAAUAAUGGACAAUGGACCGAGAGUCUGAUCCAGCAAUUCUGUGUGCACGAUGAAGUUUUUCGGAAUGUAAAGUGCUUUCAGUUGGGAAGAAACAAAUGACGGUACCAACAGAAGAAGUGACGGCUAAAUACGUG